CAAAUGUCUGUGGAAUGUCUCCUUCGGGCCGCACACUGCUGCCACGUGCUCAGAGAAACACACACAGUGCUAUUAUUUUGAAAAACUGAAGAGUCUUAGGACUGUAGCAUCUGCACCUGGACUGGUGGCACCCCAAGUGGCCAGCCACUCACCCAUGGCUUGUCUGACCACGAGACCCAAUGACACACAAGGAGGAAGGUGGAAGUCUGCUGCUGACUACAGUUACAAAGAGACAAAGGAUUUGGACUAGUUCUGAGUCGACUGCUUUAGAAGACAAGAAAUAAGUGCUGACUCUUCAUUCAACUUAUCAACUAUUUUAUUGACACCUAUGAUGAGCCAACAAUUGAAUGUGGAAUGUGAAAACAAGGGAAGAAUUCAGGCAGAUACUAGCAUCUUUCACCUAAGCAACUAGACAGGAUACAAGUUCUAAUGAUCUAUUGUUGCAUAACAAAUUAUCUCAAAACUGAGUGGCUUAAAAGAACAUUUUUGUUAUUUCUCAGGAUUCUUUAGGUUAACUGAGCUACACUCUGCUAUUCUUGAUUGAGGCAAGAUCAGGACUAGAGAAAGGUGAGUGUAGUGUCUAAAGUACAAAAUUUAAGAAGGUACACACUCUUGGAGUCUUCAGAACCCCAUUAUGAAAAUCAGUGCCUCCUUAAAUUUUACACCAAAAUGCCUCAUUUGCCUCACCCUGACCUUGACCC
rnacentral:lncRNA from 13 species